UACGGGGGGAGCAAGCGUUGUUCGGAUUUACUGGGCGUAAAGGGCGCGUAGGCGGUCGUGACAAGUCACUUGUGAAAUCUCCGGGCUUAACUCGGAACGGUCAAGUGAUACUGUCGGACUAGAGUACAGAAGGGGCAACUGGAAUUCUCGGUGUAGCGGUGAAAUGCGUAGAUAUACGGAGGAACACCAGAGGCGAAGGCGGAUCGCUGGACCAACACUGACGCUAAAGCGCGAAAGCUAGGGGAGCAAACGGG
rnacentral:rRNA from 1 species